CACAAAUACCAGGAGCAAAGCUUUCAUCAAAUUCCACGAUGGGUUCAGGCUCCCUCACUGGGGAAUUGCAUUCUCGGAAUAGGACUUUGUAGCUGCGGACACUGUCUAAAGAGAUUACACAGCUUUGUGACACCUGGUGUGACAAAUGCACAUGUGAUGAAGU